GUUUCGGUGGAAAGUGCCUCCAUGAUGUGUUGUCCGUCAAUCCAUACCAAAAGGUAAUUACCUGUCUUGGUGAAACGAUUGAGAGUUUGAUAGGAAACGAAGAUGUCAUCCAUGCCUUUGGAUUUGGUGAUAGUAAAGUGAGGAAUAAAGACGUCUUUCCUCUAAAUCCAGAUAAACAGUGCAGAACGUAUUUGGAUGUUUACGACUCGUACAACACCAUUACAAAUAGAAUACGAUUUGGUAACCCGACGGAUUUUUCGCCAAUAAUAAACAAAGCGUUAGAUAUUGUGAACGAAACAAAUGAGUUCCACGUCCUACUUAUAAUUUCGGACUGUCAAGUAUCCGAGGUCAAAAGAACAAAAGACGCACUUAUUCGAGCAUCUCAAUACGCUCUGUCCAUCGUCGUCAUUGGGAUUGGUGAUGGCCCAUGGACAUUGAUGGAACAAAUGGAGGCUACUGGUAAUCGUGAUGAGAAAAUGUCUAACUUUAAUUUUGUGAAUUAUAACCACAUAGUGUCAAAAGCCGCGAAUCCAGAUAUUGAAGUAGCAGAGGCGAUUCUGCAAAACAUGAAGAGCCAACGGCGUUUUCUACAUGAUAUGGGUUAUCUUGAGGAUUAGACAAAAUAGCCAGUAAAUGAUAAAAUACAUUUCGGACACGACAAAGCAUGUUAUUUCAGUGAUAACUUACCACAUGUCUAUGACGUUAACGUGUGCGUUGUUUUUGUUUAAUUUCUAGCGAAUGUUGUGUGUCAAAAUUUUGCAAUGGAUCUCUUGUCAGCAACAAUCAAAACGCCAUAUUUUAAUAUCUCUAGUGCUGGGGCAGCAAACGUUUAACGUUGAUUUAUUUGGACAUGUGUCUGUUACUGUGUCCAUGUUUCUAACUAUUCUAAACAACCUUUAUAAAAACAAGAAAUAUCUCACUCGCUGGUAUGCCUUCUCGGAAUCCAUAGAAUGAAGGACGUGUUUUUACCGGGAAAAUAAAUUUAAUAAACUCGGUAAUAAGUUGUAAACGGACAAAAUAAAAAUUCAAAAA